rnacentral:rRNA from 1 species
AGCGAACGCUGGCGGCAGGCUUAACACAUGCAAGUCGAGCGGGCAUCCUUGUGGUGUCAGCGGCAGACGGGUGAGUAACGCGUGGGAACGUGCCCUUCGGUUCGGAAUAACUCAGGGAAACUUGAGCUAAUACCGGAUACGUGCGAGAGCAGAAAGGUUUAUCUGCCGAAGGAUCGGCCCGCGUCUGAUUAGCUAGUUGGUGAGGUUAUGGCUCACCAAGGCGACGAUCAGUAGCUGGUCUGAGAGGAUGAUCAGCCACACUGGGACUGAGACACGGCCCAGACUCCUACGGGAGGCAGCAGUGGGGAAUAUUGGACAAUGGGGGCAACCCUGACCCAGCCAUGCCGCGUGAGUGAUGACGGCCUUAGGGUUGUAAAGCUCUUUUCUCCGGGACGAUAAUGACGGUACCGGAGGAAUAAGCCCCGGCUAACUUCGUG